GCCCAACUCUGCUUGCACCCCUGGGAAAGGGCUGGCCCUGCCCCCCGCUCCCCGCGAGCUCACCUCUGCCUCGAGGGACAGCUUUGCCCAUUCCCUGCAGCACUGGAUGGUGUUUCCUGGGGGCCAGAGGCCACCAGCACCCAGGAGGCUUUCCCGGGCCAACCUGUGGAUGUGUCCCCCAGCCCCACACCAGGCAGGCCCUGGGGAAGACAGCGCAUGGGGACGGCAGAGGGGCCCUGGUACAGGUCAGCUUCUUCCCAAACUGCCUUGCCCCUCUCCUGCUGUUUGCACCUGAAUCAUCCCCCAAGCUGGGCAAGGCUCCCCUGGAGACUUCAAUAUCGAUCCCAAGACCAAGACUGCCAUCCGGGCCGCCUGCCCACUGCCUCCUGGGAACUUGGGGCCAGGUCCCUGGCAUGUUCCCAGAGCCCAGCUCCAAGGAAGCUCUGAGGCCUGGGCAGCCUGGACGAAUGUGCCCCUCGAAUCUUCCCCAGGCCUGGGCCUGCCUGAGCUGGGGGCUGCAGAGGAGCCUUCCUGGGGGUGAGGUACCCAUGGGGCAGCCCACCCGGCCUGCAGCCCCCAGACCAGGCUGCGGCACAGAGAUCCCCAGACUCCCACCCACGCCCCCUGAGCCCGUCCCUGGCCUCUCCUGCCCGUGUGCCUGCCCUUGGCGUGCUUCCCCAUGGGCAGGAGCGACACGCCACCUUCCAGUGCAGAAAUCCAGGUGUCUCCGGGUGCUAAGUCCCCACCUUCCUUCCAGGCCUAGGGACGGUGUCCUGCACAAGAGAAGGCACAUGUCCCAGCUCCCAAGGGCUCCUGGCGUCCUGGGCUCUGAUCUCUGCUCUGACUUCUGAGGAUGCCAGUGUCGGAGUGAAGGCCCACGUGGACGGUCCCACCUGGAGGUCCUUGACUAGGCCGCGUCUGCGAAGAUCCUUUUCCCAAGCAUGUCGCUUCCACAGGCUCUGGCCGCAGGACGUGCUCACGUUCUGGGGGGUCCACUGUCCAACCCUCCGCAGGAAGGCCUACAGAGAUAACCAAGGCGUGGACACGCCAGGCACCCAGGUCUCAGCCAGGCACGCGGUUCCUGUGUCUCACAGCCAUGGCCACCCUCUGCACAGGAACAAUGACUAAACCCCUGUCACAGGUGAGGAGACCAAGGCUCAGGCGGUAAGGACACCUGCCCCGGUCACGCAGCCAGGAAGGCCAUCACCCCUCAGACCCACAUCAGCUCGGAGUGGCCCAGACAGGCCAGGGCCAGGGGUGCCUGGUCCACGCGGCGGUGGGGCUGCCGGAGCGUCCGUGAGACUCAGGCUCCCUCUGUCUUGAGGUUUCUUCCUCCCUGCCCUGUUUCUCCUCCAGCCCUGGUCACGCCCUGAGGGCCAGCCCAGAGCCUCCAGACACAGGAGGCCUCAGGAAGCGCUGGGUCCACCUGGAAGGCAGCCACGGGCCUGGCCUGCGUGUGGGUUCUGUCUCUCCAGUUCCUGGGGCCUGCAAGACAGUUGGAGGCCUGCUCACCUCUUACUUCCUCCAGGCUGAUACUCUGCAGAGCCGACUCACCCCAGCCCUGGGGGCUCUGUGCCACCCCCCAGGGAGACCCAGAGCAAACACUACACGGGCCCCAUGGUCACGAGGGCCCUCCUGCCAGGCAGUUGGGGUGGGGACGCCGGACACCAGAACUGCAGGGCCG